rnacentral:tmRNA from 1 species
GGGAGCGUAAUGGUCUCGACAGGGAGCAGGAGCUUCGGCAAGCGAGCAGCGGCGCUGUGGAACCGCUAUAAAAUCCGCAGACUUAAAAACAAACGACAACAAUUAUCCUGUUGCCCUCGCUGCGUAAGCAGUGAGCGUUUCUCCUUGAAGUACCACGGUCAGGGAGAGGCGUCGAUGAGUGGUGAACGUGAACAGAAGAUCGUCUCGCCUUCUGUCAUGCAUCAGAGACUACCGAAACACGGGGUCAGUUAUCGGACCUUGUGGCGGGGGAAUCCUUAAGCGAUAACUGCGCUCGGAGAAAACCGUUGUAAGUGCUUUUUGGACAGGGGUUCGAUUCCCCUCGCUUCCA